UUCAGAAUCGGCAAGCAGCAUAUGUAAAACGUUCAAGAGUUGGUCCCGUGACCAUGGGUUUAGCUACCAUGCCAUCCAAGUCGACCAAUUAUGAUAAUUAUGGACAAACUGAUGAAGAGGCCAGCAGUACCUCUCAAAAACUUUAAUAUUAUUACUUCGUUAUAGAUGGUACAAAGAUUCUAAUCAUCAUAUGAUUUUACAGUGUGAUCUAUCACCAAUUUACGCACAAAAGAUUCUAGGUUUUUGCAUGCAGAAAAUUAUAUACUAAAAUGUAAGUAAGUAACUGGUUACAACCAACAAGAUAUGUUAAAGUUUGCUAGAAAUUAAAUACUAGUAAACAAGCAGUUUUAAACUGAACUAAGCUGACUGUCCGUGUUUAUCACUCCGUGCUCGUGAUCAUAUAAAUUUUGUGCAUAUAUUUCUUUAAUCAGUAAACAUACAUGUGAAGUUUAUACCAAAUAAAUGUCAAGUUAAAGGCCCAUGCACGUCUCCGAAAUGCACGACUCCACAUUUCACAGCGCGGAGUUUCAGAGUGCUAGAAAUCAUGAAUUAUUGCAGGAGACAUUUCAGACACUGGA